GACGAACGCUGGCGGCGUGCUUAACACAUGCAAGUCGAACGGAAAGGCCCUGCUUUUGUGGGGUGCUCGAGUGGCGAACGGGUGAGUAACACGUGAGUAACCUGCCCUUGACUUUGGGAUAACUUCAGGAAACUGGGGCUAAUACCGGAUAGGAGCUCCUGCUGCAUGGUGGGGGUUGGAAAGUUUCGGCGGUUGGGGAUGGACUCGCGGCUUAUCAGCUUGUUGGUGGGGUAGUGGCUUACCAAGGCGUUGACGGGUAGCCGGCCUGAGAGGGUGACCGGCCAACUUGGGACUGAGAUAAGGCCCAGACUCCUACGGGAGGAAGCAGUGGGGAAUAUUGCACAAUGGGCGGAAGCCUGAUGCAGCAACGCCGCGUGCGGGAUGACGGCCUUCGGGUUGUAAACCGCUUUCGCCUGUGACGAAGCGUGAGUGACGGUAAUGGGUAAAGAAGCACCGGCUAACUACGUG
rnacentral:rRNA from 1 species